rnacentral:lncRNA from 1 species
AUUAUUAAAAAUUAUUAAAAAAUAAAAAUAAAAACUCACAUUUUAUUAGUUAUUAAAAUAGAAACUAAAAAUUUUCUAUCACGCCUUAAACCAUAUCACUCAUUCACAUAUUCAAAAUCGGUCUCUCUCACUCAAACCAUCGUAACCCUAGCCUCCAUCUCUUCUUCACGUUGGCCUAUCCCAGAACCCUAGUCUUCACGAUCUGUUCCUUCUCCCUCAAAAUCAAUCUCUUUCACUCAAACCCUUAGAACCCUAGCCUCCACUGUGCAUGUCUUCUUUUAGGAAAAUAAUUCUUUCGAUUCUUUGCGCUUAGGAGCUCGGAGAGUGUUGAAUUU